UGGGGAAUAUUGGACAAUGGGCGCAAGCCUGAUCCAGCCAUGCCGCGUGAGUGAUGAAGGCCCUAGGGUUGUAAAGCUCUUUCACCGGUGAAGAUAAUGACGGUAACCGUAGAAGAAGCCCCGGCUAACUUCGUGCCAGCAGCCGCGGUAAUACGAAGGGGGCUAGCGUUGUUCGGAUUUACUGGGCGUAAAGCGCACGUAGGCGGACUAUUAAGUCAGGGGUGAAAUCCCGGGGCUCAACCCCGGAACUGCCUUUGAUACUGGUAGUCUUGAGUUCGAGAGAGGUGAGUGGAAUUCCGAGUGUAGAGGUGAAAUUCGUAGAUAUUCGGAGGAACACCAGUGGCGAAGGCGGCUCACUGGCUCGAUACUGACGCUGAGGUGCGAAAGCGUGGGGAGCAAACAGG
rnacentral:rRNA from 1 species